rnacentral:rRNA from 1 species
ACGAACGCUGGCGGCAUGCCUAACACAUGCAAGUCGAACGAGACCUUCGGGUCUAGUGGCGCACGGGUGCGUAACGCGUGGGAAUCUGCCCUUGGGUUCGGAAUAACAGUUAGAAAUGACUGCUAAUACCGGAUGAUGUCUUCGGACCAAAGAUUUAUCGCCCAAGGAUGAGCCCGCGUCGGAUUAGCUAGUUGGUAGGGUAAAAGCCUACCAAGGCGACGAUCCGUAGCUGGUCUGAGAGGAUGAUCAGCCACACUGGGACUGAGACACGGCCCAGACUCCUACGGGAGGCAGCAGUGGGGAAUAUUGGACAAUGGGCGAAAGCCUGAUCCAGCAAUGCCGCGUGAGUGAUGAAGGCCUUAGGGUUGUAAAGCUCUUUUACCCGGGAUGAUAAUGACAGUACCGGGAGAAUAAGCCCCGGCUAACUCCGU